rnacentral:rRNA from 1 species
GACAGAGGCCUCAAGCGUUAGGCGGAAUCACUGGGCUUAAAGCGUGUGUAGGCGGGUCGUUAAGUACCUUGUGAAAUCCCACGGCUCACCCGUGGAACUGCUGGGUAUACUGGGCGAUCUUGGGCCAACUAGGGGCAACUGGAACAAGCGGUGGAGCGGUGAAAAUGCGUAGAUAUCGCUUGGAACGCCAAAGGGUGAAAAACAGGUUGCUGGGGUUGUGCCGACG